ACACCAGUGGUGUGUGGUACACGCGCCGACCGGGUUGGGGACCAUUGUCCAAUCAGAGUCUACGGCGAGUCGGGGUUCGAUUCCCCGCUGGUGUG